AACCAAGUCCAAUCCAAUAUGAAUACCACAGAUCAUACAAGUAAUUAUUGUGUUGGAAAGAGCUAUUGGACCGAGAACAAGCAAUAGGGCCAGGUUAAUUUGGGACCCGGCCGGUUGAGUAGUGGCCAUGAAAUUGUUCCAUCAAAAAGGAUGGAUGAUAUGUUAUUUAGAGAUUAUGAAAAUUAUGAAGAAAAGAGUGUUUCCUGUCAUCUCCCUUCUUAGUCUAAGCUUCCCAUCUCCUUCCAUCUAGCCCUAUAUUUUCUGAUCUUCUUUCCAUUCGGUUAUCGUUACUCAGUUUCGUUGUAAGGAAGUUAGUCAUUUCCAUUUCUCUAUUGUAUUUCAUGUUCUUAAUCUAUUAUAGUAUAUAUCCUCUUGUGAGGUAACUUGAGUUGUUACAUUUGGUGCUUUCAUUGACGUACUAUAACGGUAGUGAUGAUAUUAGAUCGAUUUAGUGGUGACGGUAAUCCAGAUGAUUGGAUUUAUAGGACAGAGCAGUACUUCACUUUUCCGUCUGAAGAAAAGUGGCUACCUCUUCCUUAUAUCUCGAUGGUGAGGCCCUCGAAUGGUUCCGAUGUAUCGCAACAAACAAUUUGAUUGGACCCAUUUCAAGGUGAAAUUAGCCUUGGUUUUCCGCAACAAAUGUAUGCAAAGCCUCUUGUGAGGGAUGCUCGAAUUUCCAAUAUUUUAGCUUUACUUCAGAAGAUUGAGAACAAAUGUAGGCUUAUGUGAGUAUUAGUGCUGCUACAAUCUUUCACAAAGAGAUUUCUUCUCCUUGUUCAAAGAAAACUCAAGCCCUGUGGAUAAUGAGGACCAUCCGGACACUUUUAUCAAUGACCUUUCAGGUAAUGUGGACAAUAUGUUCGAUGAAAUGUCUACAAGAGUUUUCACCAAAGAAGUGGGGGGAACUUCCUCUACCUCUAGCUUUGAAGCUAUUUGGACGAUAUUCAGUCACGUAAGGUGUUCGAGGAAUGUUUUCCUAGUUUUUGCCCCAUGGUAGUCGCAGAGGUGCAACCCGAUACUCCAAACAAAAUGCUUGAUGAAGCAGCAUCAGGCCCUCAGCACAGUGAAGCCCAACUAUUCAAUGAAUGUUCUCCAAAAGAUAUGCCAAAGAGAAAUGCAACAAAUCUUUGUGUAUGGGAUCCAUUGGUUAUACAGUGAACACGAAGCCACUACUAUUAUUGGGCUCUGCUGGUGCAGUUGGCUUCAUUGCUUAUGCUAACUCUAUGACUCAAGCGUGGGAUCUCGGACAACAAAGGUGUAUGCAUUCUUCCAUUUUGCUAUCUGUUCUUCCAUUGACAGUUAUUACUUCAUUAAAUUUUUGGUUUCAGAACAUUUUUGCUAUGUGGGCUGUUGUAGACGAGAUUGUAUUACCGGAAUCAAAAGUGCAUGAUUCAUACGAUCCGAGGUGAAUCAUAUGUUUGAUGAUAGUUCCCAAAGAGUUACAUCCUAGGAGAUACAACCAAUUGCACCUAUAGAUAUUAUACGUCCCAAUUUAUUUCGAUUCCUACAACGACUAUUAGCACAACUCAUAGGAGGUGAUUUCUCUUUACGAUAGAAAAUAAGUGAGAAGGCUAGUUAGUGCACUAAAAUUGGCACCAGAGGGGAAACAAGUUACACCAAUUGUUUGUAUUGCUUGGAUACAAGGCUGCAUUAAGUCUAUGACAAACUUGAUUGAGCAGGAGUUGCGUAAUUUCUCUACGCUUGAGGAGAUCAUGGUUCUCUUUGGCACUCAGGGUGUACCAUCUACUUAUACUAUAGGUCCUAACCUUGAAUUUGAGUAUAAUCUUGUUGGAUAUGGUGCUGAUGAAUUCCUUAUGUUAAUAAUGCAUGACAUCUUGGAUCCUGGUGAUAAAAUUAUUGAGUUCUCUCCCAUUUUCUCACUAUAUGAAUUGGCUGCACUACAAACUUAUGAAAAUGAUAAUUGGAGUUUUAUAGUGAUGGAAAGUGAGCUUGAGUUGGUGAAAAAUGCUUCAAUUGUUGAUGUUAUGUUGUUCACAAGUCAAUGCUCGAUGACAGUAAAAGCACUUCUAUAUUGAGUAGUUGUGGGAAGUUUAUAACUACAACGAGUCUUAUGUAUUAUAUUGCCCAUAUCGGUGGCCAUAGACGUGAUGAAGAGCGCACUGUAGCACAACCAACUCAGCUCGCAAAGCUUAGAAAAAUAUUUGAUGCAGCCAUGGGACCAUCUCUCCUCACAAGAUCUGAGUUUUCCUUGUCAUAAUACUUGAGCAGAACCAUCGUUGUUUCUAUCUUCUCUGUGAAACACCCAUGGAGAUAAACAAGAAGUGUAUAUUGAGGUAUCCUGAAUCAUUUUCCUAUCUCCAACAAUCUCAUUUCUAUGAAAUAGCUUGUAUUACUGAUGCUCAUGACUCUUUUCAUAUAAAGAGGUAAGGAAAAUUGUUGGGCUUAGCAAAAGAGAGCAGCUGAAAACUUUUACAAUUGUGGCAUUUGUUAUGAUUCUUGGUAAUAUGGAUUGCUCUAAAGGAAAUGAAAUUGUUUCCUCAAUUCUGCAAGUUGACUGCGUGUUUUGUUUCAACUCCGCACCACUGUCGCACCUCUCCACACACACUCGUCUUGAAAGAUUCAAUAUUAUACUGUUCAUGUGGCUCUACUCGAACCUUGAGGACAAGGUUCUUAUUGAGGACGGGAGUUUUGUUAUUAACCAAGUCCAACCCAAUAUGAAUACCAAGGUCACACAAUUAGUUAUUGGGCUGGAAAGAGCUAUUGAGCCGAGAACAAGCAACAGGGCCAGGUUAAUUUGGGACCAAGUUGAGUAUUGGGAAUGAAACGGUUCCAUCAAAAAAGAUAGUGAUAUGUGAUUUAGGGAUUAUGCAAGUCGUGAAGAAAAGAGAUUGUUUCCUCUCAUCUCCCUUCUUAGUCUAAGCUUCACAUCUCCUUCUAUCUAGCUCUAUAUUUUCUGAUCUUCUUUCCCUUCGGUUAUCUUUUCUUAGUUUCGUUGCAAGGAAGUUAGUCAUUUCCAUUUCUCUAUUGUAUUUCGUAUUCUUCAUCUAUUAUAAUAUAUAUCCUCUUGUGUAGUAACUUGAGUUGUUACACACACCCUCAAAGACACCUCUACAAGUAAACUGAUAUUAUGGAUGGGCCUAGACCAGUAUUGGCAAAGCAGCCCAACACCGGAUUAAGUGGCUAUGUGUGGGAUACGGGUUGAUAAAUAGAGAUUUAGGAGAGCAAAAUAGGUUUAUGUGAAUUGUCAUUGUGCUUAGGCAAAGAUUGUGCCUCUCAUCCCCAAUUCUCUCUUAGUCCCUCAUAUCCUUUUCCUUUAUAGAUACUUUUAUCGUUUGUGUUGUUAAUAUUGUAAUUGCUCAUUAAUUAUGUAUGAAUCAAAACUUAUUAUCUUGUUCUCUCUGU